UCCCGUAAUUAAUUUGAGUUUUAAUCUUGCGACCGUACUCCCCAGGCGGUCAACUUCACGCGUUAGCUUCGUUACUAAGGAAAUGAAUCCCCAACAACUAGUUGACAUCGUUUAGGGCGUGGACUACCAGGGUAUCUAAUCCUGUUUGCUCCCCACGCUUUCGUGCAUGAGCGUCAGUAUUGGCCCAGGGGGCUGCCUUCGCCAUCGGUAUUCCUCCACAUCUCUACGCAUUUCACUGCUACACGUGGAAUUCUACCCCCCUCUGCCAUACUCUAGCUCGCCAGUCACAAAUGCAGUUCCCAGGUUAAGCCCGGGGAUUUCACAUCUGUCUUAACGAACCGCCUGCGCACGCUUUACGCCCAGUAAUUCCGAUUAACGCUUGCACCCUACGUAUUACCGCGGCUGCUGGCACAAUC
rnacentral:rRNA from 1 species